ACCAUGCAGCUAGAAUCAUGUAUAACCUCUAAAAAAUAUAUUAUUAUUUUUUCAAAUUCUUUGCCUUGUUUUACAAUAGAUGUAUGUUUAGGACCUAAAAAACACAAUUUUUUUGUCUUGUUAGAUUAAAAAACCUUAGCUUGUUUUAUAGACAAAGACUUUCUCAAAAAACUAGAAAUAACUUUAGUUAAGAAAACUAAAUCGACACAUGUAAGAAAUAUAGAUAAUUAUUCAUUGUCUACUAGAGAUAUUA
rnacentral:lncRNA from 1 species